rnacentral:rRNA from 1 species
UUGUUGGUAAGGUAAAAGCUUACCAAGGCUUCGAUCAGUAGCUGGUCUGAGAGGACGACCAGCCACACUGGGACUGAGACACGGCCCAGACUCCUACGGGAGGCAGCAGUGGGGAAUUUUGGACAAUGGGGGCAACCCUGAUCCAGCCAUGCCGCGUGAGUGAAGAAGGCCUUCGGGUUGUAAAGCCCUUUCAGCCGGAACGAAACGGUUACGGAUAACACCCGUGACUACUGACGGUACCGGAAGAAGAAGCACCGGCUAACUACGUGCCAGCAGCCGCGGUAAUACGUAGGGUGCGAGCGUUAAUCGGAAUUACUGGGCGUAAAGCGUGCGCAGGUGGUUUUAUAAGUCAGAUGUGAAAGCCCCGGGCUCAACCUGGGAACUGCGUUUGAAACUACAAGACUAGAGUGUGGCAGAGGGGGGUGGAAUUCCGCGUGUAGCAGUGAAAUGCGUAGAGAUGUGGAGGAACACCGAUGGCGAAGGCAGCCCCCUGGGUCAACACUGACGCUCAGGCACGAAAGCAUGGGGAGCAAACAGGAUUAGAUACCCUGGUAGUCCAUGCCCUAAACGAUGUCAACUAGUUGUCGGGCCUUUACGGGCUUGGUAACGUAGCUAACGCGUGAAGUUGACCGCCUGGGGAGUACGAUCGCAAGAUUAAAACUCAAAUGAAUUGACGGGGACCCGCACAAGCGGUGGAUUAUGUGGAUUAAUUCGAUGCAACGCGAAAAACCUUACCUACCCUUGACAUGUAUCGAAGCCCGCAGAAAAGCGGGGGUGCCCGAAAGGGAACGAUAACACAGGUGCUGCAUGGCUGUCGUCAGCUCGUGUCGUGAGAUGUUGGGUUAAGUCCCGCAACGAGCGCAACCCUUGUCAUUAAUUGCCAUCAUUUAGUUGGGCACUUUAAUGAGACUGCCGG